rnacentral:rRNA from 1 species
GAUGAACGCUAGCGGGAGGCCUAACACAUGCAAGCCGAGCGGUAGAGUCUCUUCGGAGUCUUGUGAGCGGCGCACGGGUGCGGAACACGUGUGCAACCUGCCUUUAUUUGGGGGAUAGCCUUUCGAAAGGAAGAUUAAUACCCCAUAAUAUACUGGAUGGCAUCAUCUGGUAUUGAAAACUCCGGUGGAUAGAGAUGGGGACGCGCAAGAUUAGAUAGUUGGUGAGGUAACGGCUCACCAAGUCAGCGAUCUUUAGGGGGCCUGAGAGGGUGAUCCCCCACACUGGUACUGAGGCACAGACCAGACUCCUACGGGAGGCAGCAGUGAGGAAUAUUGGACAAUGGGUGAGGGCCUGAUCCAGCCAUCCCGCGUGAAGGACGACGGCGCUAGGGGUUGUAAACUUCUUUUGUAUAGGGAUAAACCUAGAUACGUGUAUCUAGCUGAAGGUACUAUACGAAUAAGCACCGGCUAACUCCGUG